rnacentral:rRNA from 1 species
AUUGAACGCUGGCGGCCGGCCUAACACAUGCAAGUCGAGCGGAGCGGCGGACGGGUGAGUAAUUCCUAGGAAUCUGCCUGGUAGUGGGGGAUAACGUCCGGAAACGGGCGCUAAUACCGCAUACUAUCAGAUUAGCCUAGGUCGGUAUAGCUAGUUGGUGGGGUCAAGGCCUUACAAGGCGACGAUCCCGAACUGGUCUGAGCGGAUGGUCAGGCACACUGGAAAUGAGACACGGUACAUACGCCGACGGCAGGCAGCAGUGGGAAAUAUUGGAGAAUGGGCGAAAGGCUGAGCCAGCCAAGCCGCGGGUGUGAAGAAGGUCUUCGGAUUGUAAAGCACGUUAAGUUGGGAGGCGUUACCAACAGAAUAAGCACCGGCGAACUUCGUGCCAGCAGCCGCGGUAAUUC